UUUCAUACCCUGCUCCCAAAUUUGCCCUUCUUCAAAGAGGAUUUAAUGGUUUAUUUGGUUUAUUUGAUCAUAGAGUGUGUAAUCGAUGACCUGAUUGAAUGUUCACUCAAUUUAUAGCAUUGAAUAUAAUUGAAGAUGUGGAUUAAAAAUUGAAUCCCAUUUAACCCUUAAAAGAAACUGAAGAGGUUAAGACGCCCCUUAUAUUUACUCAUCACCGUUCACAUCAUCAGAAGCAGCAACAGUUACAAUCACCAAAUCCACAAGCAUUUCUCCGUGUCUCCCCAAAUUCCCAAUUUCUCAUACCUGAAGAUAAAAUCUGGCAUGUUCCAAUGGCUGAAGUGGCGUCUUUGUCAACCACCACUGGUACGCCGACCGGUUGGAUAAGGAGAUCAAGACAAUUGGUCAUCCAAAACAGCCGAAACUGGUUAAUGGCAUGGGAGGUUGCAGCGAAAGCAUAUCAAGAGCUUUUAAUUGGCAGAAACUUGCCCCUAACUUGCCUUAUGUGAAGUCAUUGUUUUAGGUUGGUUUGAGCCGUUGAGGCUUCGCCGGAGACUCACGGAAACGAAGGCGUCUCCGUCAAUUGUUGAAGAAAUUGAAGCUAAGCUUCGUGUGAUGCAGUUUGUCGACAGGUUGUUGUAAUAAUACUUGAUUAAUCUGAAUGAUUAUUGGUUGAUUGUCAUAAUUUAUUAUUAUUUUUGUUUGUGAUUUAUUUGAAAUAAUUUGUUGAAAUUGUAAGGUUUCGUUGAUUAGAUGUUAAAGUAAUUUUGUUUGUUUUGUUAGUUCUUAUUUCUCUUAGGUAAGAUUAAUUUUACUAAAGAGUAGGGCUGCUUUUGUUAAAGAAUUAAGGUUGGUCUACAUUGGUUCACCAUGAAAAAAAGGUGUGUAUUAUGCUCAAACAAUGAAAUAAAAUCUAUUUAGUCGUGUGUAUCCAAGAUCUUAAUUAAUUACUCUUAAAGCAGCAACCAAGAAUCAAAUUUAGGGUUUCGUUCGUCUCACCCUUAAUUGAAUUAGAGUGGAGAUAAUUGCAACAUCCCAACCUGUUACUGUAUUUCUCAUUUGAUUUGAUAUGUAGUAUUCGAUUGUCAAAAAUACAACUUGGUCACUUUAUCAUCUUCCUGCCCAAAUAAUUUGUAGAUAAUCAACCAAUUUGCUGUCAAACUUACAAUUUGUUAUUUAUUGAUGGUUUAGUACUUAUUUUUAUUUCCUUUGUUUCAUGUGAAUAUCAUUUAUCUGCUGGUCUUGGAAAUAAUAAAGUUGUUGCGGAGCGCUGGGCGCUGGACGUGUAGCUGGCUGAAGUAUUUGGGCUGUGAUCAGAUCUUGUUGUGGGCUGUAACAUAUAGAGCUGGUCUUCUGGUGGGCUACUUCUUCAUCAGCUACUUGUUGAGCACCUACAACAAUUACCAAUGGCCAUGUAAAGUUGGAAAGUGGAACUACUCGGGGCAGUCUUCAAGAAUAUGUUUUGAACUCAAGCACAGCAACCCGUUCAGUGUCCAAAGAAAGAGCCAAGAUGAUGUAGAAUAAAAGGUCAAAGCUCAAUUGAGCCUGGUCUCUCAAGUUGAGAGUCAAAAUUGUUGGCCGGAGUGGCUUUGAAAAACUUGAUGUCCAAAUCUGGUAUGUCAUUCGUCUUAAAAAUAUAGUAAUUAGUUGCUGCUGAGCGCCCAAAUUUUUAUCCAAUCACCCGAUGUUCUUGUAGUAUUACUUGCCCUUUUGUAUUGUACUCAUAGACGUAGAAAUUUCAAUUUUAUUUAUGAUUGGGUUGAUUAUGGUUG